rnacentral:lncRNA from 1 species
AACAGUUUCUCACUUCAACUAUUCUUCCAACUUCGAUUAUCAGAUCAAUGAGAACCAAAUUACAUUAGUUAAAACUAGAGGAUAGUUGUGAUCUCCAAUUCCAUACUUAACAGUUCAACAACAACCAAAACAAAAUCUCAAGCUAAUUAACAAUCAACUACAAAAGUAGCAAGUGAAAAGGUCCAAGGCAGUCCCAAUUAACAACCAUAUUAUCAAUUGUCACUCAACAACAAUAACAUAACACAUGAGGACUACUCAGUUAUACUAAUACAAGGAACUCAUCAAAGUAGAUUUGAACAACACUUCACUUCACUUCAAAAAGCCAAGAGUGUACAAAUGUGUACCUGGAAAUGGAAAUUAAGAAAGAUAAAAGGAUCAGCAGUAUGGAGUGUAACAGCAGUCACUGAGAACCCAAAUCAACAGCAAAUUUGAGCAUAACCCAGAAAAUAUAUUCAAACCAACGACCCAGACCCGUUAAAAACCAGCAACAAUGACAUAACAACCAAAAAACAGGCUAAAUGAACCCCAAAUUUGUACGAAAUCAACUGUGAAUAACCCAGAAACUUCAACAACUAAUGAGAGAGCCAGGAAGUGGGAAUUAUGAACUAGAAUAUCAAGAUUAGACUACGAUUCUAAUGAAACAGUGACCCCUUUUUUUGGAUUUUCAUAUCUUUGUAUUUUUUUUAAAGAUUUUUUAAGAAGAAAAAUAAAUUUCUAAUCUAGUGUCAAUCUGAAAAAUGGAAUUUUUAUAUUUCUGGAGAUAUCACUACUUUUCUAGGGAAAUUCUCGCUGAAGGUCCCCCAUUUAAGGCAUGAAACAUUACUCUUUAUAGGAAAUAGUGAGGGCAACCCUCAAAUUCCUAUUUUACACUAACAGCCCCUCAUUAUUUUAGCUUCGGUCCCUUAAAUUUUAACUUGCUGCUCAAGUAAAUACUCCCAAAAGCUGAGAGUUAUAGCUUAACCCUAAUCUAGAAGCUUCCCACCUAGGAUUCCUUCAGUACAUUUUUCAUUUUUUAUCCCUCAUUAACCUUAGUCAUUUUAACCUCCUAUCCUUCCCCUCAAAAUAUCUGCACCUCACAUGCCAUUCCAGCCUUAUCUUCUACAACAGAAAAUAUUCCCUUCCUCCAAUUACCAAGACACCCCUAGAUAGCCUUGCAAUUACUAACCCUCCAUUAACCACAACAAGCCAUUACCCCAGGCUAUCUAAUCUAUGGUUAACUAAGGAGCAAUUCAUUUCAGCUAUAACCAAUCUCACAAACAAAACAAACGACCCAAAUUCAAUCUAGAAGAACAAAAUCCAAACAUAAAAACAAAGUCUCAAGUUAGUAUCUUAUUGGAACAAAUGAGAAGAUUAAUUAAGCUAACAACCAAUUAACGAUUGAGCAUUCAAACUAACAAUGAAUCAAAAACAACUCAAAAUUUAAACAAAAGACUAAAACUGGCCUAAGACCAAUAAACCCAUAAAUUAGAACAAUUAAAAGAUGAGCUUAGGUUUUAACUAGAAAACUAAACUCAUGCUCGAUUGAACUAAAAAAAACGACGAAAAAAAUUAAAAGAUAAAGAAAGAAAGAACUUAAUAAUUUUAACCUUCGAAUCAAAAUUUCCGAAAAAAAUAACUUCGAGUUAAUAUUAUAGGUCUACUUCAUAAGUAAUAGACCUAUGAUAUUAGCCCGACGCUACUGUUGAAAACCCUUCAAAAAUCCCCAAAUAUUAGACCCUCGGAUUCAACUUCGCCCAAUUCUGGUGGUUUUUCACAGAAAACAAUGAGGUAUAUGAGAUGAGGGAGGUCUAAGGCAGGUGUGGCGUGAAUUUGGGUUCAUUUGGGUGAGUUGGAGAUUUGGCCGCAAAUUUUGAUUUGAAUUUCGAGAAAAUUGGUUGAUAUUUGAUGGCCAAUGAUUGCAUAUUUGGGAUGAGGGGGUCAAGGAGGUUUGUGGGUGUGGUUUUAGGAGAGAUUGGAGGAUCUCCGCCGUCGUGGGCGAUUUUCGGCGACGGAGCUGGGCGGAGAUAACUGGAGCAGGCUAAGAUGAAGAAGAUGAUACGAGGAAGAAGCCUAUGGUCGGUUGAAACUACACAGGCUUUAUUACAUAUAAAUGUAAACCUCAAGGAACUAAAUGGACCGUCGAUUAACAUGUUUGGACGGCUGAGAUCAAAAGGGGGGAAAGCUGGACAACGUCGUUUCACUUCUGGGGAAUGCCUGGACCGGGUUUGGUCUUGGACAGGGUCAGGCAACUUUAUUUGGGCCAAACGAAUUUAAUUUUCAAAGUGGCCCAACUUAGAUCUCAAAAGAUAACCCUCUUCCUUCUUUGUUCCUCGUUUAAUUUACUUCUUUUUAUUCUAUUUCCUCAUUUUUUCUUUGUUUUUUUUUAAAAUUUUAAAUAUUGUCAAAGAAAUGCAAGAAAUCAAGAACAAAACCUAAUUUGAUUCUAAAAUUAAGCUAGCUAAUUUAUAAAAUUAUUUAAAAACUAUUUUAAGACCAAUUGGCAAUUAAUAACUAAAAUGCAAGAUAAUGCUAUUUUUGGCUAUUUUUCUUAUUUUACUAAUACUAAAUUAAUUAACAAACUCAAAUUAAACUCCUAAAAAUACUAGUGCAAUAUUUUUGUAUUUUUCGAUAGUUAUGGCAAUCAAAUACACAAAAAUGCAAAUAGAAAACGAAAUUGAACAAUUACUUCCUAAAGAAUAAAAAAUUCUAAUUUGAAUGAGUUUAUAGGAGUAAUUACAAUACGGCAAAAAUCGCAUUUUCACAAUAGUUAUGCCAGACGAUGAGCAGCGUCGCCUUGAGAGAUUCAGCAGACUUGCACUCCUACUUUUAGUGGUGUUUUGGGCGAGGAUGCCCAUGGCUUUCUUGACAAGUGUAGACUUAUGCUACGGACAACAGGGAUCUUGGAGACUAGCGGUAUGUCCUUUACUACUUUUCUGUUUUCUGGUGCAGCCUUUACUUGAUGGGAGGCAUAAGAGCGGCGUAGGCCGGUGGGUGCAGUGCCAUUGUCAAGGCAGGAGUUCUCCACUCUCUUUUUGGAGAAAUGGGUGCCACAAUUGUAGAGGAAGGAGCGACGCAGGAAGUUUGAGUAUCUUCGUCAGUGACAUAUGACCGUGUCUCAGUAUGAGAUGAGAUUUUCAGAGCUCGCUCGUUAUGCUCUGUGGAUGGUCCCGACUGAUCGGGAAAGGAUUAGGAGGUUCGUGGAUGGAAUCAAUUAUCUCAUUUGUAUCGUGAUGACUCGAGAGACGAUUCUGACCAUACUUUUGAGUAUGCAGUUGAUAUUGCCCGAGAUAUUAAGAUAGAUUGUCAAGAAGAGACAGAGGAGCGGGAGGCCAAUAGGCCUUAUGGAUAAGAUAGUUUCAAUAGUGCUCAGUCUAGGAGCCAACGUCAGUAGAGCAGAGGUCACUCUUACCGAUCUCACCAGUCGGCUCGUACCGAGUAUCGAGAGGUAGUUUUAGGUUGUGCUCACCAGGGGUACCAGCACGGCCAACCUUCACUGACUGCCCUUCCAGCUCGGAGCCCGACACCUACUUCUUCGGCCCAGGGAUCAUCUGCAAUGAGGGGUUCCCAUCAGUCCCCUUCUCCAACUCCAGGCCAUUGUUACGCGUGCGGUGAGUUGGGUCACAUGAGGAGACAGUGUCCUCGGUUCCAUACUAGGCAGACUCAACAAAGGGAUCAUCCCUCAUCUUCUGCUCCUAUUUCUUCAGCACCCGCUCAGUCAUCUAGGAGUGGAGGUCAGGCUCAUUUCUAUUCCCUUCCGGAUAGGAGGGAUGCGGUUGCAUUAGAUGCAGCCAUCACAUAUAUUAUCUCAGUCUGGAACAGGGAUGUUUCUGUCUUAUUUGAUCCUGGAUCUACCAAUUCCUAUGUAUCUUCAUAUUUUGCUCAUCAUUUGGGUAUGAAUCGUGGUUGUCUUACCUUGCAUGUGCACGUAUCUACCCCGGUGGGUGAUACUGUUAUUGUGAUCAUGUAUAUCGAUCCUGUCUGGUGACUAUUGGGGGCCUGGAGACCCGAGUUAACUUGUUAUUACUGGGCAUGGUAGAUUUCUAUGUGAUUUUGGGUAUGAAUUGGCUAUCUCCGUACCAUGCUAUUAUGGACUAUCAUGCUAAGACAGUAACAUUGUCUAUUCUAGGUAUUCUGAGGAUCGAGUGGCGAGGCGUGACUGAUUAUGUACCCAGCAGGGUGAUUUCCUUCUUAAAAGCCUAACGGAUAGUUGGGAAGUGUUGUUUGUCGUACUUGGCUAUCAUGAGAGAUGUGGGAGCUGAGGAUCCUAGUCUUGAUUUGGUUCCCGUUGUAAGGGAUUUCCCUGAUGUGUUUCUAGCGGACUUUCCAGGCAUGCCGCUGGAUAGGGACAUUGAUUUCGGUAUUGAUCUGGUGCUUGGCACUCAGCCCAUCUCUAUUCCUCCUUAUCCUAUGGCGCCAGCGGAGCUAAAGGAAAGGAACAACUUCAGGAACUCCUAGAUAAGGGGUUCGUUCGCCUGAGUGUGUCACCGUGGGGUGCACCACUCUUAUUUUAAAAGAAGAAGGAUGGCAUAAUGAGAAUGUGCAUUGACUACAGUUAGCUGAAUAAGGUAACAGUGAAGAACAAGUACCCACUACCCCGUAUUGAGGAUUUGUUUGAUCAGCUCCAGGGAGCAAGGUAUUCUCUAAGAUUGACCUUCGAUUAAGCUAUCACCAGACGAAGAUUAGGGAUUCAAACAUUAUGAAGACGGCUUUCAGGAUGAGAUAUGGGCACUACGAGUUUUUAGUAAGUCCUUCGGGCUGACUAAUGCCCCAAUCGCGUUCAUGCACUUGAUGAACAGUGUAUUUUGUCCUUAUCUGGAUUCUUUCUUGAUCGUGUUUAUUGAUGAUAUCUAGGUGUACUCCCGUAGCCAGAAGGAGCACAUGGAGCACUUGAGGGUGGUAUUGUAGAGAUUGAGAGAGGAGAAGCUUUAUGUGAAAUCCUCCAAGUGUGAGUUCUGUCUUAGAACUGUGGCUUUUUUGGGACACGUGGUGUCCAGUGAUGGUAUUCGAGUUGACCCAAAAAAGAUUGAGGCGGUGCAGUGUUGGCCCAGACCGUCCUCAGCUACUGAGAUUCGAAGUUUCCUGGGCUUGGCGGGUUAUUGACGUAGGUUCGUUUAGGGCUUUUCAUCUAUUGCUUCACCUUCGACGAAGUUAACACAGACGAAUGCUCCAUUUGUGUGGUUGGAUGAAUGCAAUGAGAGCUUCCAGAAGCUCAAGUCGGCUUUGACCAAUGCCCCAGAAUUAGUAUUGCCAUCAGCUUCAGGUUCUUACACGGUGUAUUGUGAUGCUUCGAGGGUUGCGAUCGAUUGUGUAUUGAUGAAGGAGGGUAGAGUAAUUGCUUAUGCUUAUCGUCGGCUAAAGCCCCAUGAGAAGAACUUCUAGUGGCGAUGCCUUGAGAUGGAAGGGUAUUAGCAUGGGUAGUCUGGAUACAUUCCAGCUGGGGAGAGGCCCCUUGCAUUGAUGUUCAGGCCUUGACCAAUCAGAUGGUGAGGUUAGAUAUUUCCGAGCCCCAUCAGGUGUUGGACCAUAUAGUUUCCCGAUCUUCUUUGCAUGACCGCAUCAGAGAGCACCAGUAUGAUGACCCGCAUUUGCUUGUCCUGAAGGACAGGGUCCAGCAUGAUGAUGCUAGGGAUGUGACCAUUGGAGAUGAUGGUGUGUUGUGGAUGCAGGGCUGGAUUUGCGUGCCCAAUGUGGAUGGUCUUCGGGAGUUGAUAUUAGAAGAGGCCUACAGCUCGCCGUAUUCGAUUCAUCCGGGUGCCGCGAAGAAUUACCAGGACUUGAGACAACAUUACUGGUAGAGGAGGAUGAAAAAGGAUAUUGUGAAUUUUGUGGCUCGGUGUCUCAACUGUCAGCAAUUCAAAUAUGAGCACAGAGACCCGGUGGCGUACCCCAACAGAUGGAUAUCCCGGAGUGAAAAUAGGAGAAUAUAACCAUAGAUUUUCUCAGAUGUAUUCCUCGUACCUCAAAGAAGUUUGAUUCGAUUUGGGUGAUUAUGGAUAGGCUGACCAAAUCCGCGCACUUCAUUCCAGUAUGCACUACCUAUUCUACGGAGAAGUUAGCAGAGAUUUCCAUCAGGGAGAUUGUACAGUUGCAUGGGAUCCCGAUUUCCAUUGUAUCAGAUAGGGGUGCCGUGUUUACUUCCCAGUUCUAGAGGACUUUUCAUAAGGAGUUGGGCACACAUGUACAACUAAGCACGACAUUUCAGCCUCAGAUGGACGGGCAGUCUGAGCGCAUUAUCCAGAUAUUGGAGGACAUGUUGCGUGCCUGUGCUAUUGAUUUUGGAGGUUCUUGGGCUGAGUUCUUGCCACUUAUAGAGUUUGCAUAAAUAAUAGCUAUCAAUCCAACAUCCAGAUGGCGAUGUAUGAGGCCUUAUAUGGUAGACAGUGUAGAUCUCCGGUUGGUUGGUUGGUUUGAGCCCGGUGAGGCUAGAAUAUUGGGGACAGAAAUAGUUCAGGAUGCCUUAGAGAAGGUGAAGGUGAUCCAGGAGAGACUUCGUACAGCCUAGUCGCAUCUGAAGAGUUAUGCAGACCGGAAGGGUCGAGAUGUAGUUUAUGCAGUGGGCGAGAAGGUUUUGUUGAAGGUUUUGCCUAUGAAAGGCGCUAUGAGGUUCGGAAAGAAAUGGAAGCUGAGUCCAAGGUUCAUUGGACCUUUUGAGAUACUUAGGAGGAUUGGGAGGUGGCUUAUAUGCUUUUUAUGCCACCUAGCUUGUCGGGAGUUCACCCGGUGUUCAAUGUUUCUAUGCUCCGGAAGUAUGUUGGGGACCUGUUGCAUGUAUUAGACUUCAGCACGAUUCAGCUGGACAAGGACUUGACCUACGACGUGGAGCCGAUGGCUAUUUUGGGUCAUAAGGUUCGAAAGUUGAGAUAAAAGGACAUAGCUUUGGUGAAUGUGCAAUGGAGAGAUCGGCCCAUUGAAAGAGGCGGCUUGGGAAAUCGAGCAUGAGAUGCGGAGCAGAUAUCCUCACUUGUUUGAUACUCCAGGUAUGUUUCUUGACCCGCUCGAUGACGAGCGUUUAUUUUAGUUGGGGAGGAUGUAACGACCUGAACCGUCAUCGUGUGAGUUACUGCCCAUUUUAUGCUAUAUUAUGUUUCAUUAUAUGUGUUUGGAUAAAUUGAAGUAAUUCAGAUGGAGUUUGGUUAGAAAUAAGAUAAUUAGUCUCUUUUUGAGAAGGUCAGUUUGGAAAAGUCAACCAAAUUCUGACUUAUGAGUUAGAGGGCUCGGAAUGGAUUUCACAAUUCGACUAGUUUUUGGAUGUGAUUUAUGACUUAGGGGUGCAAUCAGAACUGAAUUUGGAGGUCCGGUGCAGAACUAGGCUUGAAUUGGCUAAGGUUGAACUUUGAUGAAGUCCGAUUGAUAGGUGAGAUUUUGAUCCAGGGGUCACAAUGGAAUUCUGACAGUUGUAGUAGCUCCGUUAGGUGAUUUUGGAUAUGCGAGCAAAGUUUCAGGUCAUUCGUAGGCUUUUUAACUUAGGCUUGAAUCCGUGGUAAUUUGAUGAUUUUGAUGUUUAUGAUAAUGUUUUUAUACUACGAGCAAGUUUGAGUGGGUCAUUAGAACAUAUCUGUGCUUUUCGUUAAGGUCCCGAGGGCCUCGGGGUGAUUUCGGAUGGCUAACGGGAAUUUUUGAAGUUGAAGAGUACAGCAGAAAAUUGCAGAGGAAUUUUCCUAUAUGCGAUCGCGUAGGUCUAGCUGCGAUAGCAUAGCUGGCCUAGAUGAGUCUCAGAAAUUGCUCUGUGAGAUCGCACAAGGGGGCUUGCGAUCGCAUAGGUAUAAGUGAUGGUUCAGUGCGAUCGCGUGGGACAUAUGUGAUCACGUAGUAGGAUUUGAGGGUCCAGGGACUUUGUGCAUUGCGUUCGCAUUAAUAUGAAUGCGAUCGCAUAGGUAUGGCCAGUGAAGCUAUGCGAUUGCAUGGAGAUGGUCGCGAUCGCAUAGGCCAUUUUGGAUUCCUGAGGACUUUGUUCUAUGCGAUCGCAAGGGUUUGGAUGCGAUUGCAUAGAAGGAAAUAGUUGGGCAGAGAAGGGGUUUUAAUAACAUUUGAUCCGCGAACCAAACCUAUUUUCCACCAUUGUUAAGCAACCAAGAGAGCGUUUUGAGCAAUUUGAAGCGUGUUUUCAACGGUUAUUGAUUGGAGGUAAGUCUCUUGACUUAAAAACACCAUUUUUAUGUAGAAUCAACCCUCAAAUCCAUGAAAUCAUGCUGAAAUUGUGAAGAACCAGGGCUUAGUUUUUAAAAACGAAUUUGAGGGCUUUGAAAGGUCAUUUGAGCUCCAUUUUUGUAUGUAUGGACUCGUGGCGAGAUGAGGAAUCCGGUGAUAUGAUUUUUAGAAUUUUUCAAAAAGUGGGCCUAGGGCUCGGGCUUUACCAACUUCAUGAUUUUCAGUAUUUUUCGAGUAAUUUUGAUUCGGUUAUGUGUCUUAAACAUAUAAUAACGUAUUCAUUGUGGUUUUGACUAGAUUCCACGCGCGAGAAGGUCGAUUCGAGAGGCAAGGGUGUUGCUAACUAGUUUUCGUCCGGCUAGAGGUGAGUAAUUGAUGUAACUGCUGUGCUGAGGGUUUGAAACCCCAGACUUUCACAUUGUAACACUUUAUUGAGGCAUGACACGCAUUUCACGAUGAGUACGGGGUCGAAUACUGUUGGGGAUUGAGACCUAGUCAAUCUCGAGUGAUUAUUGCUAUUAUAUUGGCGACUGAAACACAUACCUUGUUAUUGUGAAUUGAGCUUAUUGCCGUGUCUGGGCCUUGUGCCGACUUGUAGAAUCCUUAGGGGAUCUUUAUAUGUUUUCCUCACUUGUGUGCAUCACAUAAAUUCUCAGUCAUGAGUUCAAAUAAUAAAUCAAUAUAAUAACUGUAAUUUAUACAUGAACUUAAAACGAAAAAAGAUGAAGGCUGAGAUCCCUAUAGUAUGUCCCGUCCGAUUGAUGGUGGACUUGUUUGAAUGAGAUGGGUCGGGGACUCUGUAGUGAGGAUGAUUUCCUGAUACGGAUUCGGCUACACGCCGUAGUUAUUAUAUAUAUAAGUUUCGGCCGGCUAGAAGUGAGUAAUUGAUGUAACUGUUGUGCUGAGGGUUUGAAACCCCAGACUUUCACAUCGUAACGCUAUACUGAGGCGUGACACGCAUUCCACGAUGAGUGCGGGGUUGGAUACAGUUGGGGAUUGACUUAGUCCAUCCCGAGUGAUUAUUGCUACUAUAUUAGCAAUUGAAACGCAUACCUUGUUAUUGUGAAUGGGGCUUAUUGUCGUAUUUAGGGCCCCGUGCCGCCCUGUAGUAUCCUUAGGGGAUUUUUAUAUGUUUUCCUCACUUGUAUGCACAACAUAAAUUCUCAGUCACAUUUUCAAAUAUUAAAAAUAAUAUAAUAAUUGUGUUUUGUGCAUGAACCUUAAAUGAAAAAGGAUAUGGGCCUGAGGUCCCUAUAGUAUGUCCCCUCCGAUUGACGGUGGACUUGUUUGACUGAGAUGGGUCGGGGACCCUACAGUAAGGAUGAUUUCCGUAUAUGGAUCGGGCUACACGCCGUAGCGAUUAUAUAUAUUGAUAUUGAGGCCGAGAGCCUGUUUUAUGCAAAUACCUAGUUGAUAUUGCGCUUGGGCUGUAGGAGCUCCUUCGGAGUCUGUACACACCCCAUUGAGCGCCGUCGACAUUAAAUAAGUGGAGCGGGCUGCACGCCGCAACGGGUACUGGAUUUUACCAUUAUAUGUAUUAUUUUUCUGCCAUACGUUACUCCUUUAAUGUGUUAAGUUGUUGUAUACUGUUUCCACUGUUUGGAUAUGAAUCGCUAGAUAUAGAGUACUUUGUGCAUUUACUGUGUUUUCUUACUUCCAGCCUUUAGUUAUAUUAAUUACCACUGAGGUUGAAGUACUCACUUUACUCCCUGCACCUUGUGUGCAGAUCCUGGUCAGUCUCAGGCUGAUUGAUUCCAGCGGAUUCAGAGUUCUUUCGGGAGUAUUUGAGGUAGCUGCAGGGUGUUCGCAGCCGAUGAUUUUCCCUUUUAUCUUUAUCCUUUAUUCCCGCAUUAUCAGUGUUAGACAGACUUGUAUUAGGAUAGUAUUCUGUUAGUAGAGGCUCAUGGUCGUGACACCGGGUCCUAGUUGGGCUGUUUUGGUAUUUUGUCAGAGUUUCCGUAUUUUUAUCAUUAUUUUAGACUUUGAAUUAAAUGGUUUCUAUCUUUACUUGUUAAAUAAUUGGAAUAACCGCUAAAAAUGGUCGAACAUGCCUAGUAGUGUGCUGCACGCCAUCACGACCGGGAUGGGGUCGUGACAAUAUAUUAUCUAUGAUUUUUUCUUAUCUAAGAUUAAAAGCAAACACAAUUAAUAUUUGUUAUUCUUCUCCUCUCGGUAAAAGGUAGUAUCAUGGUUUACUAUAUGAUUGUUGGUCAUAUUUUCAUCCUUUUUACUUCAAAAUAUUGAGUAUUUGUUAGCUCUAACAGGCAGCUAAGGUAGAGCAAAAGCUUAUACUUUUUGCUUUUUGUUAUUUCCUUCAAACAAUCUCUUUUACUCAAAUGAUUUGAGAUAGUUUUUCAGAGGAAGAAGACAACAAUAGCUGCUACAUUUUUUCCCGUAUGAGGCAGCUACAUUUUUAUUCCCCUUUUUUAACUGUUUUAAAGUUGGGUUGGUAAUCUGUUUAAAGGUGAAGCAAGUUGGUUUUAGACUAGAUUUUCAGAUGUUUUUGGACAAUUUUCAUGAUAUUUUUGGUCUGGAGAUGAAGCCGAUUUUUGGAUGCAUUUUUCAGCCGUUUUUUGAGUGAUUUUGGUCAUGUUUUCGAUGGCUUUCAUCUGGAUUUCAUGGCUGUUUCUUGGAUUUUUUUGGGCUGUCUUUUGCAUAAUUGUUUAGGCAUGUUUGUCAAUAAUUUAUUCUAUUUCUUGGUUGUUAAUGGAUGGCAUUUUUGGGAUGAUUUUGAUUUCUUGACGGGCUGUUUUAAUAGGGCAAAAUGGCUCAAUUUGGUGGAUCUUUAGAAGAGGUAAUUAAUGUUAUUUCUUUAUCUUUUGCUAUUGUAUAGAAGUGUUAAGAGAAUAAAGAAAACAAAAUGACCUUUAAGUGGUGGUUUCGAUAGCUACCAUGAGACGAUAUUAGGAUUCACUCCUCGGGAAGUAGAAGGUUGAGUGCCUUUUUGGCUUUUUUUUUAUACUUUCAGAUCUCUCCCCCUUUACUUUUCCUAUUUUCACAUGAAGAAACCACAAACUAUCACAAUGCAUAACAAUCAGGAUAGGGAACAUUUAUAAAAGCAUCAUCUUACCUUUCUUGUUGAUGAAUUUAAAGCAUGUUUCUAAAGUCUAUGGCAGAUGCAAUUCAAUUUCACGCAUAUGCAGAGACUAAAGUCAAAGUUUAAUAUGAGUCUUCUGUUUGUUGUUUGCUUGCUUAGUGAUUGAAAGAAAAAAAAUAAACAAAAGGUGAUGAUAAAGAUGAACUUACCACAUAACUGCAUGCUCCUCUGCUCAAGAUGAUUGAUCAAUUAGAUUUGUUCAAAUAGAAGAGAGCAAAUUAAUUCGUAAGUCAUAUUCCUUGGAUUCAUCACGAAAAGAACGUAGAAAUUAAACUUCACCUAAUAAAUGUUGAAAAU